GUAGCUGGGCCGUGAACGGCCGUUUUCGCGCUGCGCUCUCUCCGGUCUUGUUCGUUCUUUCUGCUGCUGACACUCGCGUGUAGAGGCCUUACACAGAGUCGGGAGCGGCCAGGAAUGCUGUCUCCAUUGCGUGGAGUUGCACAUAGUUCCACUUUCUGGCGGAGUUGGAUGAUACGAGCGUCUUCCGGGACUUGUCCUGCAGCAGAAGGGGCCCCACAGGAAGACGUCCUGUAGGCUUCCUGUGAUCUGACGGUCUGGUGUCCUUCCAGUAGGAAACGUCACCUUCUGAAGUUCAACGCACAGUACACACGCUUCUCUCGGUUUGCAUUUUUUGGUCAAAAUGACAUGUUGGGAUUUUGGACGGCGUCACUGUGCGUGUGUGUGUGUGUGUGUGUGUGUGCGUGUGUGUGUGAGCAGGGAGGCAGGACGCCCAUCAACAUGUCAACUGAUGGAUUGGUCGCUGUGGGGAGAGAUGCUCUGGUGAUCGCUGACUUGCCUGUCUUCUCACUUCUGACUACACAUUACAUUCGUUUUGCGAGGCGACCUACGAUCGGCCCCAUGCUGGGACGAUCUGGAAUCGAACCCCGACCUUCUGUACCAAAGUCAGCGGUGUGACCCGCCAAGCUAUACCAGCUACAUGACAGACGUUACUUUCUUGAGGGAAGACAUGACGAAGUCACCGCUCAGUAGAUUAGCUGACAGAUCCUCAUGGCUUUGCAGCCGCUGUAAAAAAAAGCAACAACCAGCACUAUGGAUAGUACGCCGUACUGUAGCUCCAGACUCCAGAACCCACAACUCCCAGCUCCACACCCAGACGCCUCCUUCCUCUCCUUUAACAGCCAGACAUUCUCCAAACCGUCUGGGGUCUGGGAGUCAACCGCCACCCCUUGACACCAAUCCGCACAGGUUAAUUGACAAUGAAAAUACCUGGAGGGAGAACAGCCGUUUAUGAAAUCAAGAUUUAAACCUGGCCAUAUAGGAUUAUGAGAAAGAAAAAAAAGAGUCAUGGGCACGCCGCAAAGAAAACAGCUCGGCCCGCGGAUGAAUAGGUAUCCCUUCUUCUUCUCCACUGUGCUGUUUUUCUUCGCGGAGCUUGUGGUCUCGAAGUGCUUUGAGACCCCGGCGCUGAGGCAAUUUAAUGGAUGUACAGCAGCUGCACGGCGCGAGAAAAUAGUAUUAAAAUAUGUUCCUGGUGUUUUGAUACCAAACUCAGGCUUUAGGCGGGCGCGCGGUGUGUGUCGGCGGCGCUAAGCCCGCCUGCUGCAGUGACACGCGGGGGCACAGCUGUGUGGAAGAAAAAAAAAAUGGCGCCCCCGAGCAGUUCGGCCUCUCACAAUCAGGCGCGGAGCGUUUCCGCAGCCGGGGGGAACAUUCGAGGCUUGAUUCACGCUCCCGUGGCUCUCGCUUGUCGCUCAAUGUUGACUAAAAGUUCCAUCUUGCGCUCUACCACCCUUAAGCUCUCGACUCAUGGAUUGAAUUAACUACCCCCCGAACACAAAACACACGCAGAGACGUGAUGUACAUGGAGAGAGACAGCAGAACGCACGCUCAUUUGCUGCUUUACAGAUCCUCAUCCAAACCACUUAUUCCUGGAUGACGGACGAACAAAAAUCUAAACAUGUAUUCCAUAUUUUUUCUUUGAGCCUGACAUGUUGUUAUUCAGCACUGCUGUCGGCGGAUUGCGGAGCACUUCGCGGCGACAGCAUCAGUCCCGCUCGCCGACGGCUACCGAGCUGCUUCCCAGGCAUUAGCGCCGUGUGACGACGCCGAAAUGGGUCGAAGAUGAGCGGUUUUGCAGAAGAAAGCGCGCGGCAGACCUCUGUUUCCAUAACAAUACUGCCGAUGCAGCACACCCCCUCCCUGUAAUCAAGGGUUUACUCACAGCUCCUUGUUUUGACAGCGUUGCGUCAACUGUUUUGACAGCGGCUAAACUUUUCAACCAUUCAGCUCCUCUGUCCCUCUUUUCUUUUUUUCUUCUUUCCAUCCUCUCAUGCCUGCGUCCCAACAUCGUCUGCUCAUCAAACUUCCAGCGGCGCCAAUAUCUCUAUUGCUUCUUUAUUAUCACAUGGGCGGCUCCGAGAGCGCUGUGACACGGCAGGUUCUUGGUUUUUGUAAACAUGGGGAGUUCUUUCUUAAUUUCUUUUUCUAGAGUGGUAUGUAGCUCUAAAGUUUCUUCACACUGUCUCGUGAUGACUGGCACACUGAUUAUCCGUCAGAGGGUUAUCUGACUGUGUAUGUAAAGAUGAACGCUGCGUCUCCACCUCCUCCGUCUGCGCCCGCCGUCUUGCACGUUUGACGCCAUUUACACAUUUGGAGCCGCGGUGUCGAGGUCACGCCCCCGAGUCGAUCUCAUCCGUCAAUCAUGACGAAUCAGUGAGAUAAGAAUGAACUAAAUCUACCAAAAAACAAAACAGAUUACACUUCACAGUUACACCAUUGACCAUACACAGUUGACCAUAAAGGAGUAAAGGGUCAAAAUAAACCUUUUAAUAAACCAUGUUUUGACUUGGUUUGAAAACCUUUAAAGCACCAGUGUGUCAUUUUGGGAAUUUUUCUGGCGGCAUCUGGUGGUAAAGUUGCAAACCGCAACCAACUGAGCGACGUAGCAAACAUGGCGACUCAGAGGUGGGG